GACACGUGGUAUCCUGUCUGAAUAUGGGGGGACCAUCCUCCAAGGCUAAAUACUCCUGACUGACCGAUAGUGAACCAGUACCGUGAGGGAAAGGCGAAAAGAACCCCGGCGAGGGGAGUGAAAAAGAACCUGAAACCGUGUACGUACAAGCAGUGGGAGCACGCUUAGGCGUGUGACUGCGUACCUUUUGUAUAAUGGGUCAGCGACUUAUAUUCUGUAGCAAGGUUAACCGAAUAGGGGAGCCGAAGGGAAACCGAGUCUUAACUGGGCGUUAAGUUGCAGGGUAUAGACCCGAAACCCGGUGAUCUAGCCAUGGGCAGGUUGAAGGUUGGGUAACACUAACUGGAGGACCGAACCGACUAAUGUUGAAAAAUUAGCGGAUGACUUGUGGCUGGGGGUGAAAGGCCAAUCAAACCGGGAGAUAGCUGGUUCUCCCCGAAAGCUAUUUAGGUAGCGCCUCGUGAAUUCAUCUCCGGGGGUAGAGCACUGUUUCGGCAAGGGGGUCAUCCCGACUUACCAACCCGAUGCAAACUGCGAAUACCGGAGAAUGUUAUCACGGGAGACACACGGCGGGUGCUAACGUCCGUCGUGAAGAGGGAAACAACCCAGACCGCCAGCUAAGGUCCCAAAGUCAUGGUUAAGUGGGAAACGAUGUGGGAAGGCCCAGACAGCCAGGAUGUUGGCUUAGAAGCAGCCAUCAUUUAAAGAAAGCGUAAUAGCUCACUGGUCGAGUCGGCCUGCGCGGAAGAUGUAACGGGGCUAAACCAUGCACCGAAGCUGCGGCAGCGACGCUUAUGCGUUGUUGGGUA
rnacentral:rRNA from 1 species